rfam:Rattus norvegicus chromosome 1, whole genome shotgun sequence.
GGGGAUUUAGCUCAGUGGUAGAGCGCUUGCCUAGCAAGCAUAAGGCCCUGGGUUCGGUCCCCAGCUCCA